rnacentral:lncRNA from 1 species
AUGACAUUAAAAUAAUAUAAUAACAUUUAUUUAAACAAAUCACACACAAAUCUCAAAUAGUAUAGAAUUUCAGAGUUUACAUAAUCAAGAGAUAUCACAUGAAAUAACAUAAUAUGUUUUAGAAAACAUUUAUCUUUAAAUAGAUUCGACGCGCCCAUUCGACUCUCCACGCGCCUCCGAUAUCAAUCACCUGAAACUGUUGAAUAUGGGAUGAGCAUACAGGGUACACUCAGUGUGGGAACAUGCAAUAAUUGUCCAUGUUAAUAAAAUGGUAACACAUAUUGUCAUAACGUAACAUAACUUCCAUACGCACUGUGGCAAUCCAAGGACUUUAAUGUCCCGGACCCUAUAUGUGGGCCCCUGGCGACAAUAUAAUGGUUGCAACCCUGUAACAUGAAAUCGCUUUGUGGCAUACCAAGGACGGUGAAGUCCUGGACCAAUUAUGCUGGCCCCUAGCGAUAAAUAUUUUUACAACACAUACGGUAAACACAUAAUAUUAAAAUGGACAAAUAUUAACCACGUGCAUGUACUGAAAUAAAUCCCACACCUGAAACUUGAACUUUUGAGUUUUGAAAAUUAACUGCAAGAAUUUAAAGUUCACGUCCUAGUCGCGCCGCACCUAGUCAGAUAAAUUCAAA